AUUUAUAUAGUAUAUUGUAUAUGUAGCUUCCAACUACAAGGUCUAUUUAAUAGUAUAAAUA
rnacentral:tRNA from 1 species